rnacentral:rRNA from 1 species
UACGUAGGUGGCAAGCGUUGUCCGGAAUUAUUGGGCGUAAAGCGCGCGCAGGCGGUUUUUUAAGUCUGGUGUUUAAGCCCGGGGCUCAACCCCGGUUCGCACCGGAAACUGGAAGACUUGAGUGCAGGAGAGGAAAGCGGAAUUCCACGUGUAGCGGUGAAAUGCGUAGAGAUGUGGAGGAACACCAGUGGCGAAGGCGGCUUUCUGGACUGUAACUGACGCUGAGGCGCGAAAGCGUGGGGAGCAAACAGG